rnacentral:rRNA from 1 species
GGGGAAUUUUCCGCAAUGGGCGCAAGCCUGACGGAGCAACGCCGCGUGCAGGAGGACGCUUUUCGGAGUGUAAACUGCUUUUCUGUGGGACGAGAAUGGACGGUACCACAGGAAGAAGCCCCGGCUAACUACGUGCCAGCAGCCGCGGUAAUACGUAGGGGGCGAGCGUUGUCCGGAGUUACUGGGCGUAAAGGGCAUGCAGGCGGUCGGACGCGUUUUGUGUGACAGCGGGUGGCUUAACUACCCGAGUAUACAAAAGACGGUUUGACUUGAGGACUCGAGAGGGACACGGAAUUCCGGGUGGAGUGGUGAAAUGCGUAGAGAUCCGGAGGAACACCGAAGGCGAAGGCAGUGUCCUGGCGAGUAACUGACGCUGAGGUGCGAAAGCUAGGGGAGCGAAAGGGAUUAGAUACCCCUGUA